AUAGAGGAAUAUUACUAAGGCUUAGUAGGUAAAAGAGUGUCUUGAUCCGAGUGGGCAGAGAACAUGGCGGUCUGUCGGCAAGAUAGAGGGUCAUGCAUAUGAGUGAAACUGCACAGAUUUCUUACUCACCUUUGAAUGGAUUCAUUUUGUACACCGCUAUCUGAAUAUGUGGAACAAGAUAGUUCACAUGCUUUAAGAAUGACAGAAUCUCUUGUCGAACACAUCCUUUGUUAGUCAACUGCCUUUUAGAGACGCUAUGUGUAUGUGGUUUCUUUCCAGUUGUGUAAACAGAACAUGGUCUGUAAGUUAAGUUGAGGUGCAAACUAUAGGAGAGUUGUAGUGUGUCCCAGUGUUGUAACGUGCUAGAAACAACUAGUAGCUCGAGGGUGUGUAAUGCACAGCAGGUGCUUAUGUACUGAGAAUUUAUAAGUAAAGUGGUUUUAGAUCUCAAUUCUUGCUUGAAAUGAACUGAUUGUGGUGCAACGACAGACGUACA
rnacentral:rRNA from 1 species